UACGGAGGGUGCAAGCGUUAUCCGGAUUCACUGGGUUUAAAGGGUGUGUAGGCGGACAGUUAAGUCAGCGGUGAAAUCUCCGGGCUCAACCCGGAAACUGCCAUUGAUACUAUCUGUCUUGAAUAUUGUUGAGGUGGGCGGAAUAUGUCAUGUAGCGGUGAAAUGCUUAGAUAUGACAUAGAACACCGAUUGCGAAGGCAGCUCACUAAACAAUGAUUGACGCUGAGGCACAAAAGCGUGGGGAUCAAACAGG
rnacentral:rRNA from 1 species